GCCUUCGUGGUGUAGUGGUCAGCACACCAGCCGCGUAUUCCUGAGGUCCGUGGUUCGAGUCCCGGCGAAGGCG
rnacentral:tRNA from 1 species